UAGUGGCGGACGGGUGAGUAACGCGUGAGUAACCUGCUUCAAGAGGGGGAUAACAUUCUGAAAAGAAUGCUAAUACCGCAUGACAUAUCGGAACCACAUGGUUCUGAUAUCAAAGAUUUUAUCGCUUGAAGAUGGACUCGCGUCCGAUUAGUUAGUUGGUGAGGUAACGGCUCACCAAGACCGCGAUCGGUAGCCGGACUGAGAGGUUGAACGGCCACAUUGGGACUGAGACACGGCCCAGACUCCUACGGGAGGCAGCAGUGGGGGAUAUUGCGCAAUGGGGGCAACCCUGACGCAGCAACGCCGCGUGAAGGAUGAAGGUUUUCGGAUUGUAAACUUCUUUUAUUAAGGACGAAAAAUGACGGUACUUAAUGAAUAAGCUCCGGCUAACUACGUGCCAGCAGCCGCGGUAAUACGUAGGGAGCAAGCGUUGUCCGGAUUUACUGGGUGUAAAGGGUGCGUAGGCGGCUUUGCAAGUCAGAUGUGAAAUCUAUGGGCUCAACCCAUAAACUGCAUUUGAAACUGUAGAGCUUGAGUGAAGUAGAGGCAGGCGGAAUUCCCCGUGUAGCGGUGAAAUGCGUAGAGAUGGGGAGGAACACCAGUGGCGAAGGCGGCCUGCUGGGCUUUAACUGACGCUGAGGCACGAAAGCGUGGGUAGCAAACAGGAUUAGAUACCCUGGUAGUCCACGCUGUAAACGAUGAUUACUAGGUGUGGGGGGUCUGACCCCUUCCGUGCCGGAGUUAACACAAUAAGUAAUCCACCUGGGGAGUACGGCCGCAAGGUUGAAACUCAAAGGAAC
rnacentral:rRNA from 1 species